AAUAGGCCACCGACAGAUGGAGGCUUAUCAGUUAACACCGCCCCCGCAUAGCUCUCACGCGACCUCUCCUUCAUCCUCAGGCCACCAUCUCCCCCCCCCCCCCCCCCCCCUCCCGAUGGCAUUCCGCCGCCGCUCCAUCGCCUCCCUGGCGCAGCAGCCGCUCCAUCAUCUCUCCUCAGGGCCUUCUCUUCCUAUCUCUCACUUCUCCAGUGAUUCCCACCCCAGCAGCCCGCAACCUCUAUCCAGGCCUCGCAAGAUCUUGUCAACCCCCAACUAGGUUGGGCAGAGGCCUCCAGCCGAGUCGGAGGAGAACACUACCACUGAGGGAUCAAACCCUAGCACCGCAGGCGGCUGUGCGGAGGAUUGAGGUCGACGAUAGUGGUCGCAGCAGGUCAUCAGCUCAGCUCGCCCUCUUCUCUCCCACUGCCCCCAUCACCAUCAUCCUCUCCUUCAUGCGUUCUUGCUCGUCUUUAGGCAUGUGUGCGAAGGCUCGCCAUGGACAAUCAAGACGGCGGAGUGAGGCACAGUUUCACAUUUGCUGUCCUACAACCCUGCUCCUUGUCGUCUGCACUGCGUAAACAAAUGCUUUGAUGAGGAUGCUUAAUUGGUCGGACAACCGUAUAUUGCAAAAUGUACAACUAUAGGAACAUCUAGCAGCAAGUACUUAAGUUGUAUGUCUCCUAGGUGAGCUCAGUUUCCCCAAGUUCCUGUGAUUCAUUUUUCUAGGUGUCAGUCCUGGAAGUUAAGUGUUAUUUUUUGUCUAGCCCAAGUUUAUUUUGGUCUAGGUUAGUUUAUUACUGUAUUUUUGGUUCCCUUCCUAAUUUCCCAGGUUGAAUCAUUCACUAUGAGUUUUAAGAAUGGUUGAUCAAAUGGAGACGUUCAGCUCUAAGUAAAGCAGACCUUAUGAUGGAGAAGAUAUGUAGGCCAAAUUGCUGGCACGAUAUUGGGCAUAGCUGGUGCAGCAUAGUAGUGAAAUUCCUUCGCUGAGGCAUUUAAAAAAUGGACAUUGUUGCAAUGUUAUGUGCUGGUGGUCCCUGGUCCUUUUACAACCUUGAGAAAGGCUGAGUAAUGAGACAUAAGAAAUUUAUAGCCUCUUUAUUUCUUCUCAGAAGGUUUGUCUAUAGGUUGAUGAAAGUUGCAUUAAACAUGAUGGACAUCGCCCACAAUGACAUUGCAUGUGUGAUGAACUUGCCAUCUCAUAAGUGGGACAAGACCAGAUAGUUUGUUGGCGAGAUCAGCGAUGUGAUUCAGGCAAAUUAAGGAUUCUGUAUGACAACGACGCAAGGAAGUUCUGAAUACACGUCACAGGUGCCCCUUGGCUGCCUGUGGGUGUUCGUGAUGUGGGAGCAGGGUGAACUCCACACAUAGGUCUACAUUGUGAACCACAACCGAGUUGACAUGGGCCUUAAAAAGGAGCUGAGUGACCUCUGCGACGAGGUGCGGUUGCGCUGGAAGAAUGCCAUCAAGUAUGGCUUAUUUGACAACCACACCAAAUACGGGUAAAGCAGUGAGGGGACUGUCAAUGAGCUCAACACAAGGAGUGGACGAGCUGAAGAAUGAGCCUUGGUUUCCAAGCUUAAGCAGAAGAACGUUGUUAGGCUUCUUGGUGUCUGCUUGGAGUACCAGAAGCGGCUUCUCGUCUACGAGUACACCUCAAACCAGAGGCUUAUUUCAGUUUGUAUCUCCAUCUUCUCUUCAGCGUUUCAUGCUUUCUUAACUUAUUUCAGUUUAUAGAUACAAUAGUAUAUAUUUUCUUGUACAGAUUUCAUGUAAUCGAUAUAGGGUAGACAUGGCUAAUUAACUCAAUUUCAUUUGAUUUGCAGCUUUAUAAACAGCUAACUUGUAAAUAUUACCACUUAUGCCAAAUUUAUUCCAGUUAAUGCAGGACUCUAAUCAAUGGUUAGGAUUAAUUAUCUGUGAGUUAAAUUGUGUUGUUAAUUUAGAUUAGCCAGCUAAUGUGUGCAUCCUACACUGAGUAGCUCGGACUGGGCAGAACCAGUCGUGAUCUAGAACUGAUUUCCUGCACCCUAUUUAGUUAGUUUAUUGGUCAAUGCAUGCAUCCAGCCUAAAACUAAAAGAGAAGCAAAGUUUCAUCUCUGGAGUCCCUAAAUAAGGUCAUAAGUUAAAUUGCGAUGGAUCCAAAGCAAAGUUUCCUACUUGUAAUAUAUGACCAAUCCUGCUUUCACAUGUUGCAUUGUGUUGUCCAGCAGUUUAUUUUUUUAGGCUACACUGAAGUUGCAAAAACUGUUAAUUCGUCGACUUAAACUUUGGUUUAGCAAAAGUGGUUUCAGAUAAAACAUCUAAAUGCCCAUGGAUGUCAUAAUUAUCUAGCAAAUGAUUGUCAAUAUACUGUUUCAGUUUUCGUAUACAAACGGCUGAGUAUAGUGUUAUCCAAAUGCCCACCAUCAUUCUUACCUAUAUUUGGAGCUAUACAGUUUUUAUCUGUUUCAGUGUCGUUUAAAUUAUGGCAUCAUGUUCUUCUGAUGCUGCUAUUAUAUUGAUUCGUCUGCUUAUGGAUAGCUCCUGUAAGUGCAGAUAUGGUUGGUGACCUGGAAUGUUGGCGUUCUUGGCCUGGUCACGCUGUCAGGCAACAGAGGAAGAGGGGCCUGAGCAAUCAGAAAUGGACAAACAUGUACAACACAUUUUUCAAACUGAACUUGCCAACUUGCAUGUGCUCUUACAUAAGAGCAGAUCGCAGUACUGAUAUCAAUCUCCACGGCGUUACAGAUCAGCCUGAAAGACGAAUCUCUAGGCGUGGACUCAAUCACCAGAAGCUUGUCCGUCAAGUGCAAUAGUGCCAGCGGCGCACGGCUGCUGAAAUGGCACAAUGCUCCUUUUCUACUGAACUUCACAUCUAUUAAAUGUUUUUUGCUCAUGUAUCUCUGCAGACCUACUUCGGCCUGGCGGCAACGCUCCGGUGACCCUGGACAUGGCAGUAUGGGGAAGGGCCAGAUCUUGGUGAACGGCCACAGCGCAGGGAUAUGUGUGAAGAGUUUGCAGGGAAGUGGAAAAGCGAUGUCAGUUCAUCAUAAUACAUUAACUGGUUUUGUAAGUUGUUAAACCUGCAAAUACAAUGCUCAGACGUUGUGAUUGGAGUGCACUUGGCUGGCGAGGAGGUGCUUGUUAGACCAUUAGACAUUCAUGUACAUGCUCGAACCUACUGCCAGGAUUAUCUAUUUUUUAAGAUGGCCGACUAGGAUGUCCACAAUCAUGGCAUGUUGCUAUUUCAUAUUUGCUGAUCUUUUAUAUAUCUUAGAUAUGGUUGUGCUUCGGUGUUA